UAACUGGACUUCAGAGAGUGGCCGAUAGGAUCCAGCUCUACAUCACUCCAAAUCUGCUAUGAGGGGUACAGACAUAUUACAAGAAAAGCAGGAAAAUGACAAGCAAAUGGGAAAACACUUUUUGGGAUCUCCCUUAAAAAUGAUCGUGACUGGCCAUGGCUCUGUGAACUGUGCAUAAAAAAGAAAAUAACCUUACAAAGCCUGCAGUGGAAGCAGAUUCAAAUAAAAAAAAUCCAUGCCUCUUAUGAAAUAAACUACAUUAACUGAAGAGAACAAGUUGCUUUCCACACAGACUGACCUCCA